CGCUUCCCUCUAGGACCGCGCCGCCGGCGGGGAGGAAGGGGCGCGUCUUCCCGGAGCCUUCGUCGCCCCGCGCCCUCUCUUGCCAGGCCCGGUGCCGGAGGGGGUGGGGGUGGGCGCCCCGCGGGUCCCCUCAGGCUCGGCGGUGCCCGGGGCGGGUGUUGGUGACUUCAGUCAUUUAGGGGUUUAAUUCUGAAGAAGCAGAAACACAUGAAUUGAGUUUCUUUUACAUAGAAAGCUACAGCCCUUCAUCAGUACUCUUUUUACUCCUUCCCAUCCCUCCCUGCUUCAUAGGGGAGAACAAUUUGAGAAUUAUUUUAAAGAUUCAUUUAUUCCCCGUUCCCUCUCUCAGAAAUCUACCCUGGUCCCAGAGGCAUCCACUAGACAGUGCCUGACAGGACCAGGAGAACGUUAUCAUCACUUGCUUGCUUUGGGAGCUUCAGUAGUACCCUUCCCWCCUUUGGGGUGUAGCACAGAGAGGCAUCCACAAGACUUCCUUGCCACCCUUUUUGGUUAGUAGAGGAUCCAGCAAAAGGGGUACCUAGCAAGACACGUGACCUCCUUAAAGGAACCAGAACUGAAGCAGCACUUGGCACGCUGAAGGAAACACCCAUCUUUAGUGUCUUUUUCGUCUUCCACUCCCUCCUCACCAAAUUUCUGCAGUUCCAUUGGAAGGGGACCUUGAAGGCUGCAAGACAAGUCCAAGAUGUGCAGUUCAGUUGCUCCCAGGCUGUGGUUCUUAACAGACCGUCGCAUCAGAGAAGAUUAUCCUCAGCAGGAGAUCCUGAGAGCACUGAAGGCCAAGUGCUGUGAAGAGGAGCUGGAUUUCCGGGCCUUGGUGAUGGAUGAAGUGGUGCUGACCAUUGAGGAUGGAAAUCUUGGUCUCCGGGUGAAAGGGGAGCUUAUUACUGCUUACCCACAAGUGGUGGUUGUGCGUGUGCCAACACCUUGGGUCCAGAGUGACAGCGACAUCACAGUCCUUCGCCACUUAGAGAAGAUGGGUUGUCGAUUGAUGAAUCGUCCUCAAGCCAUCCUCAACUGUGUCAACAAGUUCUGGACAUUUCAAGAGCUUGCUGGUCAUGGUGUGCCUCUUCCAGACACUUUUUCCUAUGGUGGUCAUGAGAAUUUUUCCAAAAUGAUUGAUGAGGCGGAAGUGCUGGAGUUCCCUAUGGUGGUGAAGAACACGCGGGGUCAUCGAGGUAAAGCUGUGUUCCUGGCACGAGACAAGCACCAUUUGGCAGACCUAAGCCAUUUGAUCCGUCAUGAUGCUCCUUACUUAUUUCAAAAAUACGUUAAGGAGUCCCACGGCAAGGAUGUGCGCGUCAUCGUAGUGGGAGGCCGUGUGGUGGGCACCAUGCUCCGCUGCUCGACAGAUGGGAGGAUGCAGAGUAACUGCUCACUUGGUGGUGUAGGAAUGAUGUGCUCACUGAGCGAACAAGGCAAGCAGUUGGCAGUCCAAGUGUCAAACAUCCUGGGGAUGGAUGUGUGCGGCAUUGACCUGCUGAUGAAGGACGACGGUUCAUUCUACGUCUGCGAGGCCAAUGCAAAUGAGCCAAAAAAGUCAAACAAUCCAGAGAAAACCCCUUCUCCCCUUUCUGAUGGCAAGAGUGAGAACUUAUGAAAAAUCCUUGCGAAUGUUCCUUCCUAAACUUUUCCCCCCAGUAAUGCAAGYGGGUAAAAUGGUAAACGCAGCAGUUUGGUGACAUCCAAAACCGACCUGUUGUCAGGUAAAUUGACACUUUUCUGCUCUUACKCUAACCUUCACAAGCUUGCUAACUUGUCUGCUUUCCUUUCUUCCCAUCAGUUCAUUUUGGUGAUACUUGUUGAACAGUUUCUUUAACCUGGUUUAGAGAAAAUUGUGCUUUACUUCCUUAUUUCUCCUCCUUAUACUUGUUGACUUUUAAGAAAACUGUCGUUGUGCUUUGCUUUGCUCAGGUGAGACAAAAGUGAGUCCCCCAUGCAACAGUAUGAGGGAUAGUUUUGUAAUAAUUAAUUCUACUUCCUCUAUCAAUUCUAGGUAGUUUGUCUUCAAGUGUGCUAUUUUAGCUUAGAUUUUUGAAAGAUAUGUUGCUGUCCAUUUGCUAAGUGAACAAAAAAAUGUAACUGCAGAAGUUAGUAGUUGAUAGGAAUGAUAAACUAAUGCUAAGAAUCUAUUAAAAUUCAAUAGAGCAGGAUCCUGUAAAGAAGACAGAUGGACAAGUAUGUGUGCUGAAGAAAAAGACUGUUGGGCUGAUUAUUUCUGUUUGUGGAGGCUGGGGUGACACGUUUUAUAUUGCUCUUGAUCUUAUAUCAAAGCACUUGUACGUUUUACCUUCUCUGGUAACUCUCCCCCUUAAUCUCAAACCGUGUAAAAUUACUGGGUACUUAAUAUUAUUUUACCUAAUUUAAGGAGGAGACUCUGGUAUUUUACUCAGAGGUGAAAUAUCAGACAAUUGGAAUACCAUUCCAAGUUGAAGAAUACAAGCCUCUGCAAAAAGGCUUCCAAGUUUUCUGAUGCAGUAUUAUAUUUCCCACGACAUCUGUAAAGAAUUAGCACUUGUUUCAGAUUAUUUUUCUGUGUGCWUUAAUUACUCCUCUAUAUCAUCAUAAAAUAGUAUUUUUCACAGUCUCAGUUUAUAUUUUCCUGACAGCAAACUUAACAGCAACAUAAUAAAUUGCAGCUUCAAGUCAAGGUGGGAGGGAAUAAUUUUAGAGCCAAAUUUUGCUCUCAAUUACACUGAGAUAAACCUGGAAUCACUCUGUGAAAGUCAGUGGAGUGAUACCUGAUUUCCCUGGUAUAAUUGAGUGUAUAAUUUGUGUCUUUAAUUUUACUUGCAAGGUAAUUUUGCAAACCUGUUAUACUUACGUUUCCAAUGCUUUUUCCUUUCAGACACACCCACUUCUUGCGUCUCAGCAUUGGGCAGGCCUAUUCCUUUAUUUGUGUAUAUUUUUGUGCAUCAGCUGCUAUAGGACACGGGUGUAACACUUUCAGGCAUGUGGUUGGGUGUUUUUUGGGGGUUUGUAAUAAUGUCUAAAAAUAAGAAUUUAUUUUCCUCAGUUUUAUUAAUUAAUUUGCUUUGGAUCACAGUUUUGCUUCUCUAACCUGAUUUUAGAUAUAUAUUURGUGAAGAUUUUCUUGAAAGGAAUACAGUACUAGUUCUUUGCAGAGUCUGCAAUUGAUCUUUGGUGGGGAGAGUUAACCAAAAUGUACUGCAUUCUGCAACAGUUAAUGUUUUAAUAUUUAAUGUUGCUUGAAAGGUGGUUUUACAGAUCACACUCCUUCUUCUUURUGGAAUGGUUUUCAAAGCCUUGUAUUGAUCUUGGUUGUGCCCAGUGCUUUGCCUAGUGUAUGGGGAAAUGUAGAAUUUAAAUAGGCCAUGACUUCUUAGACAAGGGAUGAUGAUUAUGUGCAUGCUGAACAAGAACUUCUUCUAUAUGCCCUUCUGCUGCAACAGAAUAAUAAAACUGGUAGGUGGCAGCAGCAGCAGAAGAAAGUCAUGACUGUGACCUGAGAAACCUCCAGUACUGGGAGAAAUGGAUUGCAAAAUACUAACGGGAGUAAGGGGAAUGGAGAAGAGAGGCAGAGUCCCUGAACUGUCCCUUUGAAUGGAAUCUAAUGCGUGUGRAAGAUGCUGGAUCACCGGUUGCAGAGAUUGAACUCUACCCACUGGAAAGGUUUUUCUACAGCAGCAGGAGGCCCUCUCUUGCUUCUCGUGGGAACACUUAGCCUUUCGAUUAUGCCUCCUUCACAAUGAAGGGAAGAAGGGAUGGACCAGCAAUGAUGUGGAAUGGAGUGACGACCACGUGGCAUUAACGUGUCAUGAUCACUGUCCUACUAACAUGGAGAAUUGAAUAAAAGAGUUGAAUUGUAAUUCAUGAGAGUGUGAUAUUCUUUUUGGUACCUUUUGCACCAUCUCCCCUUUCUUGAAGGAYUGGUUGACUUGAGAAAUCUGUUGAUCCUGUAUCAAAGCUGCAGCUAAGCCAGAAGAGUAAAACCUGUUGGAUAUUCUUCACUUGAUUAACCUUUUUUUUUUCCCCUCCAGGAAUUUCAUUCCUAAGAGUUCUGAAUGUUUUAUAUUGACAUGAAUAAUCUUCCCAAAUGCCUUGGAAACUUUAGCAUCAGGCCUUUGGUUUUAUCAGUCAUGUUGUGAGUUCACCUARGUCACUGAAGAUACAAGUCUCCUGAGCUUUAAAAGUGUAGUCACCAUACUGAUCAUGCUGUACUUCCAGAGUCACUUUGGUGGCUGCUAGAGAAAAAUAAAUGCAUCUUGGUUAACCUACCAGAGAUAAUGUGCCUUUGGAUUUUGAAGCCACAGUGCAGGGCUUGUUACAGAYGUGGGCAUGUACAUUCUUACUACAGUUUCUGAAGGGAGCCAGUCUUUAAAACUGUAGGUUAUAGAUUUUGCACAUGGCUCUCUUGGUUUGCUGUUAGUGAAGCACUGUAAAGAAUUAGACACACACUGAUAGUAUUUCCAUGACAUGCCUACUUGAAAUUGGUACAAAAUUUAAGAAGUGAACAAAAAAGGAAAGCAAGAUACUGAGUUGGUACAUUAUCAGUAAAUACCUCUUACCCUUGACAUUCUUCUUGUUCAUUUCUUGGAUAUUCAUUUCAUGUACAUUUUAAUUCCUGAUUUCUGUGUGCUUGUUCUAGCUAUUCACAUGCUCAUGUAACUUAG